GGAAGUAAAAGUCAUAACAAGGUUUCCGUAGGUGAACCUGCGGAAGGAUCAUCAACAAAACAAUUCAAAAAAAACACCAAUUUCAUUCCAAAUUUGGAAUGUUUUUUAAUGGGGAUGUGGAGAUUUCUAUUAGAUUUUUCUCAUGCCCCAUCAUUUAAAAACUAAAACUCCUAAAAUUAAAUUAAAAAAUUAUUCAAAAAUUUUUAAAAUAUAAAAAUAGAGACAACUUUUAACAAUGGAUCUCUUGGCUCUC
rnacentral:misc_RNA from 1 species